rnacentral:rRNA from 1 species
AUUGAACGCUGGCGGCAUGCCUUACACAUGCAAGUCGAACGAACCCUUCGGGGUUAGUGGCGGACGGGUGAGUAACACGUGGGAACGUGCCUUUAGGUUCGGAAUAACUCAGGGAAACUUGUGCUAAUACCGAAUGUGCCCUUCGGGGGAAAGAUUUAUCGCCUUUAGAGCGGCCCGCGUCUGAUUAGCUAGUUGGUGAGGUAAUGGCUCACCAAGGCUACGAUCAGUAGCUGGUCUGAGAGGAUGACCAGCCACAUUGGGACUGAGACACGGCCCAAACUCCUACGGGAGGCAGCAGUGGGGAAUCUUGCGCAAUGGGCGAAAGCCUGACGCAGCCAUGCCGCGUGGAUGAUGAAGGUCUUAGGAUUGUAAAAUCCUUUCACCGGUGAAGAUAAUGACUGUAGCCGGAGAAGAAGCCCCGGCUAACUUCGUGCCAGCAGCCGCGGUAAUAC